rnacentral:lncRNA from 1 species
AUAUUUACAGAAUUAAAAAAGAAUAAAAUAAAAAGGAAAGAAAGGAGUGGCACAUGAGUUCAUGCUUCUUCGUCCAUUUCUUAAAGAAAAUCCAUAAUAUCACUAUAUCAUUCAAACAUAAACCCAUAAUUAACAAACCAAAAAUUCAGCAACAAUAAAUUAACAAGAAAAAUUCAAGCUAUAGUUAACAAAAUCCAACAACAACGUAAACCCAGAAUUAAAAAACCAAAAAUCAAGCUAAUUCAAGUUAAACACUACUUUACAAACAAUAAUUUAACAAACCAGAAUUAACAAACCAUUAAUUCAAGUUAAACCUAGAAUUGACAAACCAGAAAACCAACAACAACAUGAUAUUACUAAUGUUUAGAACAAUAGAUUUUCAUAGAUAAGAAAACACUGCAAGCUAAGCUAACUAAAUUGAACCUUCCAACAAUUCUACCAUCUUUCCUUUACAUGUUUACAGUAACAAACAGACCUUAUAAUUUUGUACAGAUAAGAACACAACUGCUGGACCUUCCAGCAAAUCUGUCUUUUCUAAAGUUACACGAAGAAACACGUUACGUUUAGAAGGAAAAUGACUUCUGGCCGCUGCUAACAUUACACAGAAAUUUCCGACACGGUGGUGAUGUUUCAUGUUGCGGUGGUCGCCGGAGCAAGGUCAUCCAAACAUGAUUUUUCUUGUGAGUUUUGUAGAGAAUAAGAAGGAGAGUACUUUUAUGAUGGUAAUUUGUCGAAAAACAGUUUGUUGUGGUCAAGAUCUAACAAUAAAGAUGGCGGUUUGAAAACUCAAUAUCUCCGCUAAAAGUUUUUUAAUAAUGAGAUAGAGAAGGAAAAGAUGAAGGAUAUUAUGUAUUUUGUUUGAUAAAUGGGGGGUAGAGGCACCACAGUGGGUGGCAGAAAAAGGGGGCGGUUGGUUAGGAAAGAAGGAAUAGGAAGAAAGAAUGGGAAAGAAGAGAGAAAAUCACGAGCCUCCCUUUUUUCUU